rnacentral:rRNA from 1 species
UACGUAGGGGGCAAGCGUUGUCCGGAAUCAUUGGGCGUAAAGCGCGUGUAGGCGGCCAGAAAAGUCCGCUGUGAAAACUCGAGGCUCAACCUCGAGCUGUCGGUGGAAACUUUCUGGCUAGAGUCCGGAAGAGGAGAAUGGAAUUCCUGGUGUAGCGGUGAAAUGCGCAGAUAUCAGGAAGAACACCCGUGGCGGAGGCGGUUCUCUGGGACGGUACUGACGCUGAGGUGCGAAAGCGUGGGGAGCAAACAGG